rnacentral:rRNA from 1 species
AUUGAACGCUGGCGGCAGGCUUAACACAUGCAAGUCGAGCGGGGUGAUGGUGCUUGCACUAUCACUUAGCGGCGGACGGGUGAGUAAUGCUUAGGAAUCUGCCUAUUAGUGGGGGACAACAUCUCGAAAGGGAUGCUAAUACCGCAUACGUCCUACGGGAGAAAGCAGGGGAUCACUUGUGACCUUGCGCUAAUAGAUGAGCCUAAGUCGGAUUAGCUAGUUGGUGGGGUAAAGGCCUACCAAGGCGACGAUCUGUAGCGGGUCGGAGAGGAUGAUCCGCCACACUGGGACUGAGACACGGCCCAGACUCCUACGGGAGGCAGCAGUGGGGAAUAUUGGACAAUGGGGGGAACCCUGAUCCAGCCAUGCCGCGUGUGUGAAGAAGGCCUUAUGGUUGUAAAGCACUUUAAGCGAGGAGGAGGCUCUUUUGGUUAAUACCCAGAAUGAGUGGACGUUACUCGCAGAAUAAGCACCGGCUAACUCUGUGCCAGCCGCCGCCGUAA